ACCUAGUGAUGUGGGUAUUUACAAAGCAGGUCCUUAAAGCGCUCUUAAGUCUCGAAAAAGAGUUCCCCAUCCAUCUGUGAGAAACUUGUGAGGGCUCUCCGAAGCU